AUUAGUUUUUGUAAAUAUUAAUGUCUUGUUUACCACGUCAUGUUGUAUUUUUAUUUAAUAAUUCAACCAAACAUGACUUAUAAGUACCUAAAUUGUUAAGCGUCACAUGUGAAUUGGAUACUUAGCGAGUACGUGCACGCGAAUACUGUAAUACAAUUUGUUGUUUAAUAAUUUCUACUUACAAUUUUCGUAUAACCAACUUAUGGAUACCUAACUUAUGGAUUACUAAACCUACUGGAUAUUAUUUAUAUUUUGAUAAUAUAUUGGCUCGUAUCACAAUCAAGUGGUACUGUUUUGGCAUAACACUACACAGAAAUAUUACAAUCAUCUAAGACAUUCUUAUAUUUGUUCAUAAUUUAAUUAUGUCAUAGUGAACUCUACUAUAACAUACCAUUUGGAUGAUUCUGUAUGUAUGUUAAAAUUAUAUUCAUAUUGCUAUCUUCUAUUACAUUUGCAAAUGGUAACAUCAAUAAAUAACAAUAUUGCUUCACAUAUUGGAUUUUAAUAUUUCAACAAACUACAAAUUAAAUUAAAUGAUCAAGUUAAUAUGAAAGAAGUGGACAACAAUUUAGAUGGACUAACUGCGUAUAACCAAUAAUAUGUAUUGAAAACUAAAAAUUGUAUAAUGUUAAUGUUUUAUAAUUUCAUAAUAUUUUUUAAUAAUGCAUUUAAAUGAGGUAACAACAUCAAUCAUAAAGACUCAAAAGAUAUGUAUGUA